CGCGUAACGGCGGCGGCGGCGGGGGUCCCGUCGGGUUGGAGGCGGCCGUGUGCGCGCAGCCGGCUCUCGGUUGGGUUAAGGGAGCCCACCGCAGUGCGGUCGCUUGUGUGCGCUGCGCGGUACAGAAGCGCGCAGAUACGUUCUCCUGUAGCUACCGGGCUCCUUCUCCGGGGCUGCUGCGCUCAGAGCGUGCGCGGACGUUGCGCACCUCAUGAGUUGGUUCAGAUGCGCGCAGUCCCGCGGCUGCUACGGCCCGCACAGCGGCGGCUUUGCGAGCGCCUUUUAACAGGAGCUCAGGCCGCUUCUCAGCGCUGUGGAGAUCCACGAGCUGCUGUGUUUGUGAGGCGGUGUUUAAGCUGGCCCUGUUGCUGUCACCAGAAAGAAGAGAUCCAUCACCUGCUUCUCUUCUUCCUCUGCUAAAAGGUAUCUCUCUUGAUGUUGUCAAGCAUUCCAUUGAAACUGCAGAAUGGAAUGAUUCUGUUACUUUAAUUUUUCAAGGUUCACGUACAAUAUUAAUUACUAAAAAGACUACAUCCCUUACUACACAAACCAGUAAUGUGUUUUUUGAAAUGUAAAUCUCUGUGACUCUCCACCCAGUUUAAACUAAAAAGAGUGUGAAAAGAUGGCUGGUAUCCACCUAAGACAUAAAAGUACUGAUGAAGUCUCCUGUAGACACUUUAAUUCAAAGUAGUCUUUAUGACUACAAAUCCUCCAUUAUAGACUUGGCUGUUCAUUCUUUUAAUUUGGCACAGCUUCCA
ensembl:lncRNA